rnacentral:siRNA from 1 species
UUGAGGUCUCCAUCAUAGUAUUAU